rnacentral:rRNA from 1 species
CCUACGGGAGGCAGCAGUGGGGAAUAUUGCACAAUGGGGGAAACCCUGAUGCAGCGACGCCGCGUGAGUGAAGAAGUAUUUCGGUACGUAAAGCUCUAUCAGCAGGGAAGAAAAUGACGGUACCUGACUAAGAAGCCCCGGCUAACUACGUGCCAGCAGCCGCGGUAAUACGUAGGGGGCAAGCGUUAUCCGGAUUUACUGGGUGUAAAGGGAGCGUAGACGGCAGCGCAAGUCUGGAGUGAAAUCCCAUGGCUUAACCAUGGAACUGCUUUGGAAACUGUGCAGCUAGAGUGCAGGAGAGGUAAGCGGAAUUCCUAGUGUAGCGGUGAAAUGCGUAGAUAUUAGGAGGAACACCGGUGGCGAAGGCGGCUUACUGGACUGUAACUGACGUUGAGGCUCGAAAGCGUGGGGAGCAAACAGGAUUAGAUACCCGGGUAGUC